UACAGAGGGCUCAAGCGUUGUUCGGAUUCAUUGGGCGUAAAGGGUGUGUAGGUGGCGCGCUAAGUCGGGUGUGAAAUUUCGGAGCUUAACUCCGAAACUGCAUUCGAUACUGGCGUGCUUGAGGACUGGAGAGGAGACUGGAAUUUACGGUGUAGCAGUGAAAUGCGUAGAUAUCUGGAGGAACACCGGUGGCGAAGGCGGCUUCCUGGACCGGUUCUGACACUGAGGAGCGAAAGCGUGGGGAGCGAUCCGG
rnacentral:rRNA from 1 species